AUUGAACGCUGGCGGCAGGCUUAACACAUGCAAGUCGAGCGAGCGGCGGACGGGUGAGUAAUGUCUGGGAAACUGCCUGAUGUAGGGGGAUAACUAUUGGAAACGGUAGCAAAUACCGCAUACCAUCAGAUGUGCCCAGAUGGGAUUAGCUAGUAGGUGGGGUAAUGGCUCACCGAGGCGACGAUCCCUAGCUGGUCUGAGAGGAUGACCAGCCAAACUGGAACUGAGGCACGGUCCAGCGUCCUAGAGGAGGAAGCAGUGGGGAAUAUUGGACAAUGGGCGCAAGCCUGAUGCAGCCAUGCCGCGUGUGUGAAGAAGGCAUUCGGGUUGUAAAGCACUAUCAGCGUGGAGGCGUUACUCGCAGAAGAAGCACCGGCUAACUCCGUGCCAGCCGCCGCGGUAAUUC
rnacentral:rRNA from 1 species